AUUGAACGCUGGCGGCAGGCCUAACACAUGCAAGUCGAGCGGAUGAAGGGAGCUUGCUCCUGGAUUCAGCGGCGGACGGGUGAGUAAUGCCUAGGAAUCUGCCUGGUAGUGGGGGAUAACGUCCGGAAACGGGCGCUAAUACCGCAUACGUCCUGAGGGAGAAAGUGGGGGAUCUUCGGACCUCACGCUAUCAGAUGAGCCUAGGUCGGAUUAGCUAGUUGGUGGGGUAAAGGCCUACCAAGGCGACGAUCCGUAACUGGUCUGAGACGAUGAUCAGUCACACUGGAACUGAGACACGGUCCAGACUCCUACGGGAGGCAGCAGUGGGGAAUAUUGGACAAUGGGCGAAAGCCUGAUCCAGCCAUGCCGCGUGUGUGAAGAAGGUCUUCGGAUUGUAAAGCACUUUAAGUUGGGAGGAAGGGCAGUAAGUUAAUACCUUGCUGUUUUGACGUUACCAACAGAAUAAGCACCGGCUAACUUCGUG
rnacentral:rRNA from 1 species